rnacentral:rRNA from 1 species
CCUACGGGCGGCAGCAGUGGGGAAUAUUGCACAAUGGGCGCGAGCCUGAACCAGCCAAGUAGCGUGAAGGAUGACUGCCCUACGGGUUGUAAACUUCUUUUAUAAAGGAAUAAAAUGAGGCACGUGUGCCUUUUUGUAUGUACUUUAUGAAUAAGGAUCGGCUAACUCCGUGCCAGCAGCCGCGGUAAUACGGAGGAUCCGAGCGUUAUCCGGAUUUAUUGGGUUUAAAGGGAGCGUAGAUGGGUUGUUAAGUCAGUUGUGAAAGUUUGCGGCUCAACCGUAAAAUUGCAAUUGAUACUGGCAGCCUUGAGUACAGUUGAGGUAGGCGGAAUUCGUGGUGUAGCGGUGAAAUGCUUAGAUAUCACGAAGAACUCCGAUUGCGAAGGCAGCUUACUAAACUGCGACUGACAUUGAUGCUCGAAAGUGUGGGUAUCAAACAGGAUUAGAUACCCUAGUAGUC